GGGGAAAAGAGCCGGCCUAUCCCGAUUCCCAAGACACAGAAAAUAAGCACUGGUGCACAUCCAGUACAAGAAAAUGAUGCUAGACUUUCAUACCAAAACCAACAUGUAAACAGGAAAAGAAAAGUUGCUUUGAAUGCAGAAAUAGAUCAAG